CUUUUGAAGACAACCCCACCUGCUCUAAAUCGCUUCCUAAACCUCCCACCCCAAACUGCCUUCUUUAUUCUGGCUUCUACGCAGACGAAACGGGACAUGCCAGGAUUCCUAUGGCAGCCUCGCCUCCAAGCUUAAACCUGUGCCUUUCCUUAUCCAGGCGACUGCAGCGCAAGGAGGUAUAUGAGAGAUUCAAUUAUUGGUUGUUUGUUUAAAUAAAAUUUCAAUCGGGAAUAUUUCUGACUUUCCAUUGGGACAAUUAAAACGGGGAAUCGAUCCGUGAGCAAUUAAGGCCGCUAUCACCGGAGUCGUUCGCAUUUAUAAUAUUGUUUUCCCCCCGAAUAUCGUCGACUUAAGCGACGGUGGCUGACGUCACACUCCUUGGGACCUGCUUGGUUUGAAAAGAGGCUCCUGGAAGGAAGUUGCGUGAAAGCCAUGCAACUCGCUCCCACCUGGAUCUCUGUCGAGGCUCCGCUGGGCCAGGCAGCGGUCCUCGCCAUCCCAAGGGGAAGAAGGGUUUGGAAUCGUUCACAGCAUUAACCCCAGUCCCUUGAACCGACUCCUUAUGUCAUUUGCUGCUUUACGCUCAACUCCAAUAAAUCAGGCACCCACAAAAACCGUUUGAGACAUUAGA